UGUUCCUGGGAGCUCACAGAGCAACUUCCCAGGGUACAGAGAAGAUUAGCAUGGCCCCUGCGCAAGGAUGACACGCAUAAAUCAAGAAAUGGUCCAAAUUUUU